rnacentral:rRNA from 1 species
CCUACGGGAGGCAGCAGUGGGGAAUCUUGCGCAAUGGGCGAAAGCCUGACGCAGCAACGCCGCGUGCGGGAAGAAGGCCUUAGGGUUGUAAACCGCUUUCAGUAGGAACGAAAAUGACGGUACCUGCAGAAGAAGGUGCGGCCAACUACGUGCCAGCAGCCGCGGUGACACGUAGGCACCAAGCGUUGUCCGGAUUUAUUGGGCGUAAAGAGCUCGUAGGCGGUUCAGUAAGUCGGGUGUGAAAACUCUGGGCUUAACCCAGGGCCGCCACUCGAUACUGCUGUGACUUGAGUUCGGUAGGGGAGCAGGGAAUUCCUAGUGUAGCGGUGAAAUGCGCAGAUAUUAGGAGGAACACCGGUGGCGAAGGCGCUGCUCUGGGCCGAUACUGACGCUGAGGAGCGAAAGCGUGGGUAGCAAACAGGAUUAGAUACCCUGGUAGUCCACGCCGUAAACGUUGGGCACUAGGUGUGGGUUCCAACCAACGGAAUCCGCGCCGUCGCUAACGCAUUAAGUGCCCCGCCUGGGGAGUACGGCGGCAACGCUAAAACUCAAAUGAAUUGACGG